CUCACGCAAGAAAGAAUUCAAGGAUAAUUAGUGUAUAAUGAGCAGUGAGACGACUGGAGGUCACUUUCAUCGCCAUCUUGGUUUUGGUGGGUUUUGGACAGCUUCUUUACGCAUGCUGUUUUAUCAGCAAGGUCUUUGUGACCUGUAUCUUGUGCCGACCUCCUAUCUCAUCCUGUGACUAGGAAUGCCUUAACCUCCUGGAAUGCAGCUCAGAUGCCAGAAACUAUACAAUCCACCCCCUCUGAAGGAGUUUGUUCAUUUAAAAAAAAAAAAAGGGAAAUUUGGGUGCAGACAGGCACACAGGGAGAACACCAUGUCAACACGAAGGCAGAAGUUGGAGUGAUGAGUCUACAAGCCAAGGAUUGCCAGCAAUUCAUCAGAGGCCAGGACAGCAGCCUGGGGCAGCCCCCUACAUGGUACCAACUCCAUCAACACCUUGAUCUCAGACUUCCAACCUCCAGAACUGUGUCACAGUCUGGAAGUCUGCUCACAGUCUCAAGGUUGGCAUAUCCCCUAGAGCCCCCAGACUCCUCAUCCCAUGGAGACCAACAUGGCCAGGGGAGGGCCAGAGCAGGGCCUUCUAAAUCACAGACCCCAGGGCAGGAGCCCCUCCGGUCUGGAUCUAAGGAUGGUAUUUUCAACAAUUCCUAAAUUUUUAUCCUAGGCUCUCCAAAUGGGAGUCUAAAGGUCUCAAAACAUGGUCCAGAAGAAGUAUGCAAAAAUGUAAAUUCCUAGGCCCCAACCCAGACCUAUGAAUCAGAGUCACCCUGCUUGCACAUGGAAGGGAGGCCUGAGAGGCUGCAGAAUGGCCCUGGAGAAGGCAAGAGACAUCAUCUGGUUGGCCUGGAGUGCACGUCUGUGAGAGACUUUGGGGCAGUUCUCUCUUCUCUAUGCUAGAGCCAUUGAUGCCCUGUGCACUUCAUUGCCUUUGACCAUCAUUCCUUGCUCCUGGAAUGCCACCUCCUCUUUGCCACAGUUAAUAAAACCAGCUGAAGCCUCC
rnacentral:lncRNA from 10 species